rnacentral:tRNA from 1 species
ACCCUGAUAUUAUUUAACCCAGGGAAGAGCA